AAUUCGAUGCAACGCGAAGAACCUUACCUAGGCUUGACAUGCACGGAAAUCCUCCAGAGAUGGUGGGUCCGUAAGGGCCGUGCACAGGUGGUGCAUGGUUGUCGUCAGCUCGUGUCGUGAGAUGUUGGGUUAAGUCCCGCAACGAGCGCAACCCUCGUUCUAUGUUGCCAGCACGUCAUGGUGGGGACUCAUAGGAGACUGCCGGGGUCAACUCGGAGGAAGGUGGGGAUGACG
rnacentral:rRNA from 1 species